rnacentral:lncRNA from 1 species
GGGGGGAGUGGAUUUGAAGUCAAACAUUAUUGUAACUUUGUAAUUCCUCUCAUACAAAACAACAAGGGCUUUGGUAAAAAAAAGGCCCAUUUUAAUUAUAUAUAUACACGCAUGCCGGCAGAAAGGGUAGAAAUAAAAAUUGGUGGGUGACUUGGCUGGAAUUACCCUCAAAUUCAAGCAUUGAAAAUAAAAGAGGCCUACCAUUGGAAGAGAAUUGAAUAGAAGCACAUACAAUUGUUGGCAGCGACAAGAGGAGAAUACAUAAAAGUAGCUGCCUCGUGAAAUUAUAGGGGAGAAACCAAGAGCCAACUGGUGAAAGACCAAAGGACUGUCUGGUGAGAAAUUGGAGAAGAAUUAGAGUUUGUCUAGGAGUCCAACAUUGUUGCUGUAGGGAAUAAAAAGGUGUGGCUGAAUCAGAUGUUAUAUACAUACGAAUUGGUGAUCGGCAAAAAAGAAAUCAAGGAAGAAGUGGGUUGAUUUUUAUAUAUAUACACACACAUCAAUAAAUGGCGAUUAGGCAGGAGGAGAGUUUUGGCUGGAAUUACAUACAUACACGCUAACUGGGAAUUAGACACACACUUACAAAGGGACGACUGCCUUGGAGAAAUCAACACAUACGCGCGCAAAAGUCGAGCAAAUUUGUGGAAUUAAUCACGUUUCGUCAAUUUCUCGGUGAUGUCUUUCCAAUUUUAUGUGUUUAAUUUCAAUAUUAUGCUAGGCUAAUUUUGCAUUCUUAAUUUUAUUAUUUGAUUGCUUGAUCACCAAUUAAAUAUAUUGUUGCUUGUUGUAGUGUUGGGAGACUCACAAUAGGUAUAGAACACUGCUUAAUUAACAUGCGUGCAAUAAAUUUUAGGAAUAAGAUUUAUUACGUGUGCAAUCUUUGAGAUAAUUGUGAAAUUUAAUAUGUUCUAUUCACAUGAAUUUGAACUAGAAAUAGGAUCGGG